CCUUUUCUGCUGCUUUCAGAACAAUGUGAAAAUCUGCACUGUUCUCACCUUCUAUCAAAGGAAAUGAGAGAAUUACAGAGACCAAAGGUAUCUAUCAAGUGACUCAACACCAGAAUGAAUCAACCUUUUAUGACUUAGCCAUGGAUGCAAAAGGUGUCCUCAAAAGAGGGUGCAAAAAGAUGCAGCCCUCUCAAGAUCCAAAACCACUCCUAAGAGCCAGAAGAAAUACAGGUCAAGAUUUGAAUCAGAAUCAAAUUUGGAAGGUCGAUGUUCAAAGGUUACUGCUUUAACCUGUAAAGUGUCAAGAAAACCUGGACAAUUGCAUAGAGAGGGGCAAAAAUUAAGUCAAGAUUGGUUAAAAAAACUUGCAUGUAUAAUGCGACAUUGUGGCUGAGAAUUUAAACUCAUAAAA